rnacentral:lncRNA from 1 species
CGACGGUUAUAAACGAAAAAUCAUGAUUUAACGGUUAUUUUAACUCCGAUUUUGAUGAUUUUUUUAUAGUUACACUCCUUGACCCUACAUGAAUACAAUGACUGAAUUCAAUCUUCAAUUUAAAAUAUUUACACUAGUGGAUACCACAAAUCUUAUGUUAUACUUAAUGAAAAUAUAAAUAAACUCUAAGUGUUAGUGAAUCUAUCAUUUUGAUGGGAUACGUAUUCUACGAAACUAAUUUCAACGAUCCAACCGUCAAACUUGUUUGUAUGUGCUUCGAGAUCGCAUAUGCCAAAAAUCGUAAAAAACAACAUUCAGAGAUCAAGUAACUGGACAAAACUUUUCGACAGUUAUAAACGAAAAAUCACGAUUUAACGGUUAUUUUAACUCCGAUUUUGAUGAUUUUUUUACAACUACACUCCUUGACCUUAUACGAAUACAAUGAAUGAACUCGAUCUUCAAUUUAAAAUAUUUACACUAGUGGAUACCACAAAUCUUAUGUUAUACUUAAUGAAAGUAUAAAUAAACUCUAAGUGUUAGUGAAUAUAUUGUUUUGAUGGGAUAAGCAUUCUAUGAAACUAAUUUCAACGAUUCAACCGUCAAACUUAUUUUAAUUUGUUUUUGUUGUUAUUUUGAUAACUUUGAUAGCUUUUUGUAUAUUUAUUCGAAUUAAUUAAUUUUGUCACGUGAAUUGUUAUGAGAAAAUGGAAAUGAAUAAUAUUUAUAAGCAUUUAUGUUAAAUUAACGAUAUUAAAUAUACCCUAAAAUUAUAAUAUUUAGUAAUAUAAGAAUAUAUUAUGUUAAAUUAAUUUGUUUUGCACUCUAGAUAUUCAAAAUAAACUAGGCAGG